rnacentral:tRNA from 1 species
GGUACUGUGCCAGAAAGUGGGUUACUUUGAUGUGGUAAAAAUAAGAGGGAGUCUCUUCGGUAUCU